rnacentral:rRNA from 1 species
ACUCCUGCGGGAGGCAGCAGUGGGGAAUUUUGGACAAUGGGCGAAAGCCUGAUCCAGCAAUGCCGCGUGAGUGAAGAAGGCCUUCGGGUUGUAAAGCUCUUUUGUCAGGGAAGAAACGGUGAAAGCUAAUAUCUUUUGCUAAUGACGGUACCUGAAGAAUAAGCACCGGCUAACUACGUGCCAGCAGCCGCGGUAAUACGUAGGGUGCAAGCGUUAAUCGGAAUUACUGGGCGUAAAGCGUGCGCAGGCGGUUUUGUAAGUCUGAUGUGAAAUCCCCGGGCUCAACCUGGGAAUUGCAUUGGAGACUGCAAGGCUAGAAUCUGGCAGAGGGGGGUAGAAUUCCACGUGUAGCAGUGAAAUGCGUAGAUAUGUGGAGGAACACCGAUGGCGAAGGCAGCCCCCUGGGUCAAGAUUGACGCUCAUGCACGAAAGCGUGGGGAGCAAACAGGAUUAGAAACCCGUGUAGUCCCAUGA